rnacentral:rRNA from 1 species
CCUACGGGGGGCAGCAGUGAGGAAUAUUGGUCAAUGGACUUACGCCUGAACCAGCCAAGUCGCGUGAGGGAAGACUGCCCUAUGGGUUGUAACCUCUUUUGUCAGGGAGCAACGCCGGCUACGUGUAGCCGGACUGAGAGUACCUUAGUAAGAAGCACCGGCUAACUACGUGCCAGCAGCCGCGGUAAUACGUAGGGGGCAAGCGUUAUCCGGAUUUACUGGGUGUAAAGGGAGCGUAGACGGUAGUGCAAGUCUGGAGUGAAAGGCCGGGGCUCAACCCCCGGACUGCUCUGGAAACUGUACGGCUGGAGUGCAGGAGAGGUAAGUGGAAUGUCUAGUGUAGCGGUGAAAUGCGUAGAUAUUAGGAGGAACACCAGUGGCGAAGGCGGCUUACUGGACUGUAACUGACGUUGAGGCUCGAAAGCGUGGGGAGCAAACAGGAUUAGAUACCCCAGUAGUC